GGGGCUGAGACACAGAGGGAGACAGACAUUCCCUGCUGCUGACCCUGCUGCUGAGCCCAGUGAUGCCAGGGACACCUACCCAGAAGAGGCAGAUGAUACCCCGCUAAUCCAGGUCAUAAAGGUAAAGGACCUAAACCUGAAUUCAUUACACAUGUGAGUGAUUCCACUACAGCAAAUUGAACUGCUCAUGUUCCAACUGCUAUCAAUAUAUUCUGGAUUUGUGAAGAACGCUUUACAUCAAGACUCUGCAAUGCUUUCAAAGAAUAACCUCAUCAACAGUCUGCAAUUCCAUCAGUGAGCAACCUCACUU